GACGAACGCUGGCGGCGUGCUUAACACAUGCAAGUCGAACGGAUAGGCCCUGCUUUUGUGGGGUGCUCGAGUGGCGAACGGGUGUGUAUCACGUGAGUAACCUGCCCUUGACUUUGGGAUAACUUCUGGAAACUGGGGCUAAUACCGGAUAGGAUCUCCUGCUGCAUGGUGUGGUUUGGAACGUUUCGGCGGUUGGGGAUGGACUCGAGGCUUAUCAGCUUUUUUGUGGGGUAGUGGCUUACCAAGGCUUUGACGGGUAGCCGGCAUGAGAGGGUGACCGGCAAAAUUGGGACUGAGAUAGGGCCCAGACUGCAACGGGAGGAAGCAGUGGGGAAUAUGGCAAAAGGGGAGGAAGCAUGAUGAAGAAACGCGGCGUGCGGGAAGACGGCAUAAGGGUAGAAAAAAGAAUUAGCAUGAGAAGAAGAGGGAGUGACGGUAAUGGGUAAAGAAGCAACGGCUAACUACGUG
rnacentral:rRNA from 1 species